GAGGCGCUCCGGCUGCGAGCAGAGACUCAGCCCGACACUCCUCCCCGCGCUGCGCCGCUGCCUGCGGGCCAGGAUCCCGUGGACUGCAGCGAGAGCGAGGCGGCGUGGCUUCCCGGCUCGGUACCGCGCGGCUGCUCACCUCCGCGGCCUCGCCUCCUGCGGCUUCCAGGUCGCACCGUGCGCUCCUUUUCGCGCCGCUCCCACGGUCUCUGUUUUCCCCCCUUCUCUCGUUAGACUCAACGUCACAACUACCGGGACCUCUGCGGCCCUAAAAGUGCAGCGGGCACAGACAGAGUCGGAUCGGCUCGGGCUUCAAGCCUUUCGCCGGCUCUCUUUCCUUCUCCUGGGCACCGAGGCCAGAUCUUCUCCUGGAGUUUCAUGGCCCUUAGUCUUGCCUGGAACUGUCUUUGUAACUGUGUGGUCCAAAACCAAGAUAUCAGCAAGCAGAUAUGGGAGAGGACCACGAGGCCUGAAGAGAAAAAGAAGUUUCUGGCACAGGGACUAAAUGAGCAAGAUGGGCUGAGACCCAAGAGUGCUACAGUGUAACUGCAGGAGUCCGUCUGGAUUCCAGAGUAAUGGAACGCAGAUGCUCCAGCGGGUUUGCUGUGCUUGGGACACACCUCCAGUCGUAACAAGCCAGAGCGAUGAGACCACAAAGAGGCAUAAUGGGCCUCAUUCUUCUUGACUGUCCGUCGAGGGACCCAUAGUCACUGGCCUGGGGGUUUUCUUCAGCGUGGCUGCUGACUGCAUCAAGCAAGUGCCUACACCUAAGACAGUUUAUUCAGUGUAGAGUAGCCAGGAAGCGUGGAGGAAUGUUGCCACCUUUCUAGGUUUAUUAGAGACCACUGAAGGCACUCCAUCCCUGUGGUCCUCUGAGGACAGUUUUAGGAAUCCCGUCCUGCAGGAGGAGGAGGCCGAGGGUGUGUGGCACCUGUUCCAAUCACAGCCGCCAUGUCAGAGCCAGGAUUUUGGAUUCCAAGUCUCCUGUUUUGUUUUGUUGUUUUGUUUCUUCACCAGCGCCCACCUAGCCACCUGCCAGGCAUUUGGGGGCGAUUCAGAAGUUUUUCUGAAUCUUCAUCACCAUCCUGUCUAGAAUUUAUUAAAUAUCCAUCACUUACCAGCUGCGUAGACUCACAAGGAAGCCUCACAGCGUCCUUGCGAGGUGUAUGUUAUUUUCCCCAUUUUACGGAUGUAGAAACAGAUUGAAGGAGGGGGGCACAGUGAUUGACUGGGCUGAUUCCAGAAGCGAGGGUCAAGAGUGACUGGCAUAGAGGCUGAGGGGCUACCUGUAAAGCCGGCUUGGCAAGAGCUGGCAGGAGGCUCAGAAGAAGCUUCUAGAAGACUAUGUUUCCCAACUGACCUUUGAGGACAGAGUAGAGCUUUAUCAGACAAUUGAUAGGAAUUGUCCUCUGGGUAAGCCAGAGCAGAGCUGGUUGGGGCGUGAGCAUUUUAACCUGAUCUGGGUUGUCCUGAAUUCAUCCUGGCUUCAGUCUUGAACUUGUCCUUCCCUUCAAUGCCAAGGUGAGCAAGAGAGGAAGGGCUAUAGGCUGCUGCGCCCCACCGAUCCCUAAGGUUUCUAUCAACCACACCCACAUUUUCUCCUCUUUUCCCCAUUAGCCUCCUGCGAGUACCAUGGCGUAGAGAGCAGUUUGGCAUGGGAUGAUGAGUUGGAGCCACUUAGAUGUAGUCCAGUGCCCCCCAGUGCCUCCCUGCCGUCUUCCUGCACACAAGCAGGCUUGGCAGGCAGAGCAGCCUCCUCUUCAGUUUUCCUUGCUUCUCAAGCAUCCAGACACCCAAAGGUGUCUCCCGGUUUGUCUCUGAUUCUUGUAUACAUUCUUCCACUCAUUCAUUUGUUGAUUCAUCCAACAAAUAUUUUCUGAGCACUCGACAUCUCCUAGGCGCUCUUUUGGGGUGCUGGGAACACAGCAGUGACCCCCGCUGACCUCCCUAUUGUCUUCACAGAGGUUACCCCAACUGAAUGGAUAGGUCUGGUGGUUUUAGAGAGUGACACAGGCCUUGAUGUCAGUAAAACACGAGGGAUCAGGGGAUACCUUGGUUCGGUUUGCAAAUCUGCAGGAGGAUUUGUGUGUGGUGAAGCUAAUCCAAGGACUCCCUGGCUAGAUCCCAUACCUGGUAAGCAAGAAGUACAAAGGCCCUGGGGUGAGAAUAAACCUUAUCUACUCCAGGAGCAGCGGGAGGCUGGGGCCUAGAGGUGAGUAGGAAUCCAACAGACAGGGAUGGUGGGCAGGCUUUAAAUUUCCCUGUAAGUACAAUAGCAGCUCUUGGGGGCUUGGGUCUGGGGAGGAUUCUAAUUUGAUUUAUCUGUUUCGCUGCCUUUAGUACUGAGAGCAGAGAGACCAUAGAGAGCUCUGGGGACAGGGGAUGGCUUAGUUAGCGAAAUGCUCUCAUACAAGCAUGAAGACCAGAGUUAAAGCUCGCUCCAGAGGUCACUCACACAAGUUGGGCGUGGUGCCAUGAGCUGGAGAGACGGACAGGAAGGGGGCUUCUUGGGACUAGCUGACCGAUCAGUCUAGCCAUAUAGGUGAGUUCUGGGUUCAUGAUACUGUCUCAAAGGAGGUGGACGGUGUUCUUGAGGGUGACACUCAAAGUUGUCCCGAGCUUCUUCUCACACACAUCUGUGCAUUCAGGAGCGUACACACACACACACACACACACACACACACGAAAAGAAAUGUGCCAGCCACCAGUCUGACACCACAGUCUUCUCUAGCACCCGUAUUUCCUCACACAUACACAUCUCUUUCCAGGAAUGCCUCUACCCAUACUUUUUACAAAGUUCCUGCUCAUUCCUGAGGUCCCAGCUCCUACACACCCUUCUGGGGAUCCCUUCACUCUCAUGGCAGGAUGAAUUCACAUUCUCAUUCCCAGUUCCAGCCAUAGGCACACAUAGUGUGUCUCUGGUCCUUCCCUCCACUAGGCCAAGGGUCCUGCAAACACUAACAUCUCACUCUGAUGUGUCUCAGAGACCACAGGCCUUUUCUAGCUUGCUCUGGGGGUGGAGCCUGACAAAUGCUUUCUGGGUUGAUGUGAGUUAUUCGAGUACCUGGGUCAUUGGCUGAAGCACCAAGUUAACCAGUGCCCUUUGAACAAGUAUCACACUGUUCUUCCUGGUGACGC